UAGCGAAGGGGGCUAGCGUUGCUCGGAAUCACUGGGCGUAAAGGGUGCGUAGGCGGGUCUUUAAGUCAGGGGUGAAAUCCUGGAGCUCAACUCCAGAACUGCCUUUGAUACUGAGGAUCUUGAGUUCGGGAGAGGUGAGUGGAACUGCGAGUGUAGAGGUGAAUUCGUAGAUAUUCGCAAGAACACCAGUGGCGAAGGCGGCUCACUGGCCCGAUACUGACGCUGAGGCACGAAAGCGUGGGAGCAAA
rnacentral:rRNA from 1 species